rnacentral:tRNA from 1 species
UAUAUUUUGGUGUAAGAUGCACAAAAGAUUUUGAUUCUAUUGGAAAUAGUUUGAUUCUAUUAAAUAUAA